rnacentral:rRNA from 1 species
AUUGAACGCUGGCGGCAGGCCUAACACAUGCAAGUCGAGCGAGCGGCGGACGGGUGAGGAAUGUCUGGGAAACUGCCGGAUGGCGGGGGAUAACUAGUGGAAAAGGUAGCUAAUAGCGCAUACCAUCGGAUGUGCCCAGAUGGGAUUGGCUAGUCGGAGGGGUAACGGCCCACCAAGGCGAUGAUCAGUAGACGGUCUGAGAGGAUGAACGGCCACAUUGGGACUGAGACACGGCCCAGACUCCUACGGGAGGCAGCAGUGGGGAAUAUUGCACAAUGGGCGCAAGCCUGAUGCCGCCAUGCCGCGUGUGUGAAGAAGGCCUUCGGGUUGUAAAGCACUUUCAGCGGGGAGGCGUUACCCGCAGAAGAAGCACCGGCUAACUCCGUGCCAGCAGCCGCGGUAAUAC